GACGAACCGAGCGAACGUUGUUCGGAAUCACUGGGCUUAAAGGGCGCGUAGGCGGGUGCUCAAGUCCGGGGUGAAAUCCCACAGCUCAACUGUGGAACUGCCUCGGAUACUGGGUGUCUCGAGGGUGGCAGGGGUAUGCGGAACUAUUGGUGGAGCGGUGAAAUGCGUUGAUAUCAAUAGGAACUCCGGUGGCGAAGGCGGCAUACUGGUCCACUUCUGACGCUGAGGCGCGAAAGCCAGGGGAGCAAACGGGG
rnacentral:rRNA from 1 species